AGAAUUUUAGGUUAAUAAAACUUUAAGUUUUCAAAGCUUAGCAUAAAAUAUUUUUAAGUUCUA
rnacentral:tRNA from 1 species